rnacentral:rRNA from 1 species
GUAGGUGGCAAGCGUUGUCCGGAAUUAUUGGGCGUAAAGCGCGCGCAGGCGGUUCUUUAAGUCUGAUGUGAAAGCCCACGGCUCAACCGUGGAGGGUCAUUGGAAACUGGAGAACUUGAGUACAGAAGAGGAAAGCGGAAUCCCACGUGUAGCGGUGAAAUGCGUAGAGAUGUGGAGGAACACCAGUGGCGAAGGCGGCUUUCUGGUCUGUAACUGACGCUGAGGCGCGAAAGCGUGGGGGAGCAAACAGGAUUAGAUACCCUGGUAGUCCACGCCGUAAACCGAUGAGUGCUAAGUGUUAGGGGGUUUUCCGCCCCUUAGUGCUGCAGCUAACGCAUUAAGCACUCCGCCUGGGAGUACGGCCGCAAGGCUG